CGAAAAGGCCAUUAGGGUGAAAUGAACGAAAUACUUGAUCGAUUCCCAAGUCAACUAGUCCAAUCAUAUGCUCGGUCCGGUUUUCAAAAUCAUGCCUAAACCCCCAUUUUUCUUUAAUAGGCAGAGGUUGGUCUAGGAAAUUGUGUUUCGUUUUGUGUUUAUUGUCGUGCCACCAUUAGUUCCUUUUUAUUCUCUCAAUGAGAAUGUGGGUCUUCAUGGCAUGGUUUGGAUUGUGAUUGCUGCUAAAUAAUAUUCUAUAGCAGUGGUCGUUUAAAACUGCCGCUAGAGAGUAUAGCGACUGCGAAUUUGGUUUCCCCUCCCCCUCCUCUUUCGUUUUCCCCAUUCUCUUCCCGCCCUCUCUCUCUCUCUCUCUCUCUCUCACUUUUCUACUGUUCAUGACCGAUGGAGUUUGUCUCAGAUUUCCAUCGGACAGCUCCAACCAGCGACUUCAACGUCAGUGGCUGAUUCGGUCUCUUCACCGCAGCAUUGAACUAACUCUAGAACGCUACUACAUUAGAGAUUUAGCUAGGGGUUUUAUUGCCUUUGACACUGUUACGGAAGUCCAAGGACAGUUAGGUUUCUUAUUCUUCUUCAAUAAACCACUGAAGAUAUCUUCAGCUUCUGCUAGAGAAAAAGAACUACAAUCUCAAGUGAUUAGUCUCCAGCAAAGCAUUGGAAAUCUUGUUGAAGAGUUGCAGAGACAGAAAAUAAUCAAUUCUCAGAUUCAUUUUUAUAUAUAUAGUACUGGUCUUAGUCGAAAGCUGAGUAUCAUUCUAAAUUAUCUCAAGAGAAAUCAGAGAUUUGUAUGGGCAAACAAGGUCCCUGUUACCAUUGUGGAACUAAAAACACUCCACUUUGGAGGAAUGGACCACCUGAAAAGCCAAUAUUGUGUAAUGCAUGUGGCUCAAGAUAUAGGAUAAAAGGCACAUUGGAGAAUUAUUAUCCUUUGCAUCGCCCAUUUUCAAUAUUUGACUCUACAAAUUCCAAGACUUCAGAGAAGAAUAAAUCUAAGGCAACAAAAGGAUUGCAUAUAAAAGUUAAGAAUGACACAACAAUGGAGGGUGAAGAAGCAUUUACAAGGGACAGUAUGUGCUCAACAAAAUUUGAAGAUGAUAUAGAUGAUACAAGCAACAGAUCUAGUUCUGAGUCUGCAAUAUUAUGCUCUGAGAGUUGUAUCCAUCUGGAGAGCAUGGACAAGAAAGAAAUCUCAGGUUCAGGCCAACCAAGUUUUUGGGACCAACAAAUUCCUUCAAGAAAGAGGUCAAAGAUUAGGCGUUCUAGUACAUCACUUAUUGAAAUUCUAAGGAGGGACCUCAUUUAUACUAAACAAGAAAAAGAAUUAUGCUAUCUAUCUGAAUCUUCGGAAGACUUGCUUAUUUACAAGAGGGAAGAUGCAAGGUUUUCUAAUGAGAUAGGUCUUGGCACUGUUCUUCUUAAUCAUCGGCCACUUUCUUUCAAGGAGGAAUAUGAGUCAAGCUCAAUUGUAAUGAAAAACAUGGUCUCCUCUUUAAAUGACACAAAUAUGAGUCCAUCAUCAUCAUCAUCAUCAUCAUCAUCAUGUUUGUACUAUACCAUUUCAAAGUAACAAAUUAUUUCAAGUCAAGUUGAUAAAGAUGCUUUUGUUCAAGAUGUUGGAUAUAUAGAAGAAUUAAAAAGAUAAUC